GCUUUGAACUUAAUAAAACUUGAUAUUAUUGUUAACUGACAAGUACUGAUGAGGCUUUUGACUUUGAAAUUUUCAAAAUGGCUGCCGUUGCCAUGGAAACCGCAGAAAUGUGAAAUUUUAAAAUGCUGUGAAUGUACUGAAAAUUUACAGAAAGAUGUAUUGCCAUGCAUAUAUGUGCAUUCACUGUUAAACGAUUCUGAAAUGGCUGCAACUUAGUGGCAAUUGGGGCAAGGGUGACAUCCGCUAUUGCUUGCAAUGGCAAUUCUAGUUAUUAUUAUUCUUCCACCUUUUUUGUCCGACAGGUUUUUUGGAGUGAAAUGGAACCAAUCUUAAUGAUAAUUCACUAUAAGGAGGAACACAAAAUUUCGGGUUGCAGUAGGGUCUAAGACCAUAAAAAAUGGCUGCCGUUUCCAUGGAAACGGAACAAUUGUGAAAAAUUCCAGUUUUUGGUUUUUGUGAAUUAUUUAGAGAUGCUUAAACUCAGAAUCAUCAUAUUUUAUCACAAUGUAGGUGCCAGCCAUAUAUUGGUUUUGGAUGAUAUUGGCAAUCAUUGGAACCACUAUGUUGCCAUGGAAACUACCCCAAAAAUUUCAAAAAUUUCAAAAUGCUCCAAAUUUUUUGAAACUUCAUAGUAACGAUGAGCAACUUUGGUAGAUGCGUAAUUUGGCGUUGGAAUUUCCAAAAUGUCUGCCGUUACCAUGGAAACAGUGCAUAAGUGUCAAAAUGC
rnacentral:lncRNA from 1 species